AGGGAAUUGAUAGACACAAGAACAAACCCUUGUUUUUCUAAUAUCAUGAGUUGUUAAGGUUUGACUUUCCUUAUCUCCUAAAAUCAAAAUAGACAAAACAAAAAACUUCUAUUUGCCAAAUUUUUCCCAGCAAGUUGCAAGAAGAAGCUGCAGUCCAAUAUAGAAUAAGUCAAUUGCUUUCUGUAAGAAGAAACUUUGAAUUUUUCUUAUAUAAACAAUAAUUUCAUCAUCUUAUUUUCUUUACUUCACCUGAAAAGCAAAAGAAAAAUUCUCAUCAGAGCAAAAAUUCUGGUAUUGUUAUUUUCUUACCUUUAUAUUUUGGGUUUGAGUAUCUUUUGUAUUUUCCGUAAAAAAACAACAGAAGUUCUGGCUAAUCCGUGGUGGACAGGACAUCAGGUAGGAUUACCUGGGGUGGUGGAUCAUCCCCACCACCCGUCAGGUAAUCCACCUGGUUUUAUGAACAAACGUCCCCACACCGAACUUUUCAUCAACGAAACCAAAAGAAGAGAAGAAGAAGAAGAAGACGAUGAAGAAAGAGACGACGAUG
rnacentral:lncRNA from 1 species